AAGAAUAAAAAGGGACGCUUUUGUUAGUAAGGAGAAAAGGUUUGAGCACAUUCUGGAAAACCUUCUUCCUUUGUUGCUCUCUCCUCCAGCCGAGAGAGAUGAAGAAAUUCCUCUCCUUUAGCUCUUAAACUUCCAAAAAGAAAAUUAAGGAAGAGAAAUUUAGUUUCUUUUCCUCUAUUUGUGAAGAUUAGUACAAAUAUAGAAGAGAAGGACAAGGUGAUUACUGAACAAGUUGGCGAACACCAUGGGAGUUGAAUAUCACGAAAUUAUGUUGAGGUGGUGUAGGGUUGACCAAUUGGGUUUCGAGUUGCAGCUUUAUUUUGGACUAAUAGAAGGGAGUCCAGACGUAUAUCUUUUGGGUGAGCUACCAAAGUAUUUGUAUAGUUAGUCUUAGUUUGUAAAUGAUCUUUUUGUUGCGUUGUAGACUAAAAAGGUGUAGGCCACAAUGGGUUAGUGUCUUUACUUACCUGGGCAAUGAAAACUAUGUAUAUAUGGUCACUUGUCUUUUGGCUUGUAUAAAUUAUGCUUAUGUACAUUUUCAUCAAAUGACCUGAACAUGUUUUUCUUGUAAGAAGCUUUGAAGGUCUUUUGUGAACUUAUUAUAAUAUGUAAGGCUUAAUGAAUUGCCUUUGGAGA
rnacentral:sRNA from 1 species